GAGGGCAUGUCUCAGUGCUAAGAGUGUAUGCUUAGCAUGCACAAAGUCCUGGGUUCCAUCCCCAGCACCUCCA
rnacentral:tRNA from 1 species